CUUCAGACUUCCUCUCUUUCACCUCUUUUCUUCUUCUCUUCUCUUUUAUGUACCUUAUUGUCGUCACGAUCUCACCUUCUCGUUCCAAACAAAUUUUUUCCCCUGGUAGCGUAGAAAGUGAAAGAAACUAGAGGUAGGAAGACGAGGUUCUUGUGUCUAUCUAUGGUGGCAUCUCCCCGAAGUGGAAUCUAGGGUGCAGCGGAAGCCAUAGGCUUGAAAGGAGGGGAAGUGAAAGGCGGAGGACUUUUGAGUUUUAUUGGCCGAGAGGCUAGGGCACGGUGUGAUUUGGUUCAAUCUCGAUGUGGAAGCUCGGGGAAUCAGCUUUGUGCGUAGUGGUUUUGUGGUUGUGGGAUUUUGGAAACCUUAGAUUUGGGUCAGGGUUAUGUGGUUGGCUGAUCAAGCUAAUGGCAGGGCUGCCCAUGCAAUUGACUGGGUUUUCAUGCCCUCAAAACCACUGCCUUGGGAUCGAAAGGACUUCUUCAAGGAGAGGAAGCACGAGAGGUCGGAGUCUUUAAGUUUGCUGUAAGAUAGAGGACUCGCAUCAGGGUUCUUGGGAGUUUGCUCGUCGGGAUCGGCAGACUUGCGUUGCCCUACAGAAGCAUGAGAGGUCAGAGUCUUUAGGUUUGCUGCAAGAUAGAGGGACUCGCAUCAGGUUCUUGGGAGUUUGCUCACCAGGAUCGGUAGACUUUUGCCCCCCUACGGUUUUUUCUUGCAUACAGAUUUGAGUGGGCAGUAUCAGAAUUUGCUGCGGCUAUCGCUUUGGAACUUGGAAAUUCAUUUAGCUUUUAGAUUGAUGACCUGGAAUUUCUGAAGAAAAGUGGAAUAAAUCCAAGAAAGCAUUGGUGGAAGUGUUUGCUGAAAUGAUAUUCAUCCACAAUUUUCCGCAUGAAGAUCUACAUCCUGGUAAUAUCUUAGUUUCUCCAAAAGCAGAAGGUCGGAGCAGUUUUUCUUUAGGGAAAUCUACCAACAGAUGAGGAAGAGUUUUGAAAUUUGUAAGACUUUGAGAAGGAAAGAAACUCUUUUGGGCAUUAUUGAAGAUCACCUUUGGAGAGUUGAAGAUGGAUGAAGUUGAAAAAUGUGGGACUCCUUGGGUGAUAUGGACGGAUUGUUCUUUUUGAAAUCCAAAAAGAAUUUUUCUGAUGGAGGAAACAGAGAAUUUGGAGAAAGGAGGACGACUUCAAAAUGGACGGCUGCAAAUUGCCAUAAAAACCACGGGCUGGUGGUUUUAAAAGGGGAGAAAGAGAUUUUUUUCAAAGAGAGAAGGAAGAAAAGAAGUGGAAGAAAGGAAGAAUUUUUCAUUGCCUUCGUGAGAAGAAAAAGAACUCGUGUUCACCAGUCUUUUGAGGGUUUUGAAGACAACUUAAAGUCGAGAAAUUGGAGUGUAGAUUACCAGGUAUGUUCUCUGAGAUUUUGUUAUUGCUGCUUGCAUUCUACUCUUUAUUCUCUGGCUGUUUCUAAGAAUUUAUUCUUGCUGUUUGGUGUGGAUGCUAAGGGCCACAGUUUGAUUUGUUGAGACUAGUUGCUUGCAUAUUUACACUAUUUUAGUUUUCCUUUUGAUGUCUUUGGUUCCAUCUGAAAGCAAUCUGAAUAUAGGUCCAUCUUUAAACUUGAUGCUAGAAGUCAUGCCCCUGUUUAUGUUCUACUCUCACUUUGAAUACCCGCCCAUUCCAAGCCUAUGGAAGUUGCAUGAAAUGAGGCUUUGCAAACUUUUGCUUGUUUUUCUGUUGCCUUUCCCCUGGUUAUCUUUUACUCCACUUUUUUCUUUGCUAUCUAUUCCUGUGUACACUUUCUUCUAAGUCCUCUAUUGGGGUAGCGUGAGGUUUGAGAGGAAAGAAGAUGUGCUCAGGUUAUUGAGUGAACUGUUGAGGAAAAGCUCAAACAAAAGAGGUUAAUUCUUGUUUUGAAUCAAGUGAUGGGUUGAUUACUACCCAAAAAGUGCUAUUUUACACCUUUAAUGCAUUAUGUUUUAAGCACUUUUGUGUAGUAGUUCUCCAUCUUUAGUCCAAUUGGCAUGUUAAGGACCUAGCAAUGUCUUCUAAUCAUAUUUGUGGCUAGUUUUAAUGUUUUGACAGCUUUUUGGAUCAUUAAGACAAGUCAAGCAAAGGAGAGAAGCAAAGAGAAGCAAAGUGAAAAAAAUCAAGAUGUAGCAGCUGCAGUCUUCUUUCACACUUUUGGAGCACUUCCCGAAGUCCAUUUUUUACAUGCUAUAUACCAUUUCAAAGCUCUGGAAGUCAAGAAUCCAACGCUUCAAACCGUGUACGAUUUGGAGCUGAAAUGAGGAAGAUAUGGCCUUCGGAAGCCAACUGCUCCAGGUUAUGCGAAAAUUUCGCAUUCCACAAGGUGUUAUGCGAAAUUCGCAUAACAUUCGCAUAACCAUGCGUGUUGCGAAUUUUGCUCUGCCUUUGCCGACUCCACUUUAGAUAUUUUCCUUUGUAUUUUGUGAUGUAAUUUCCUUUAUUAUCCUUGUAACUAACCAAUCAUAAGCUUUUGCUUUUGUAAAGACUUUAAAAGGGGUGGAAAUCACCUCUUGGAAGAUAUAGAAUACGUAUUACGUUUUUACA